UGAGAUGGUCAUAUCUAGGGGGAAGGGUUGCCAUAUACUUCCCAAGGAAGUUUGCAGCCUCUCACUGAAGAGGAACUGUACAGAUUUUUGUGCAUUAUCUUAUACACGCCUGCUGUGAAGUUCCAGUCGAUAGACAGAUAUUGGUCAACGCAUGCCCCUGUCGGAACAACUCAUUAUCAAGAAUUAUGUCUAGAAAUAGGUUUCAAGAGGUUGAAUAUAAGAACAUUUUUGUUAAAUAUGAUGCAAGUACAUUUAAAUCUAGUGAUUGAAAGUAAGUACUUGAACUUUCGUAUAUGUUGAACCUGGAGAGGAAAAAUGUUAGUACUUUUUGAUAACAUUUGAUAAGGUGUUGUUGCUUAGCAACCAAAUAUAAUUGAAUAAAAAAAUAGAUUGUUUUGGAUUAACAAUAAUUGAAAGAUCUUUGUUUUAAUGUUGCAAUACUUAUUCUAUUUAAUGGAACAUAAUGGCAAAACGUCAUAUUAUUAGAAAAUGAUGGACAAGUAUAUAAAGUACGAAGUUUCCAUUUGAUGACCUUUGACCUUAAUUCUCUUCAUCAUAUUUUUGUUAAAAACCUUUUAAAAUGAUUAAGAUCUAUUUAAAGAUUAUAUUUUUAAAAUAAUGUGACAUUUACUAAUCAUCAUGGAUUGUAAUUACGUUUAAAUUGUGUCGAAUGGAUGCAGAAAGGCAAAUUAUGGUCAAAAUUGUACUAUGAGUGUUGUUACUUAGCAACCAAAAAUAUUUGUUUGUCAAUAAAAUUGAUUAGUUUGA